rnacentral:rRNA from 1 species
UACGUAGGCAGCGAGCGUUGUUCGGAGUUACUGGGCGUAAAGGGUGUGUAGGCGGUUCUUUAAGUUUGGUGUGAAAUCUCCCGGCUCAACCGGGAGGGUGCGCCGAAAACUGGAAGGCUAGAGUGCGGGAUGGGAGAGUAGAAUUCCUGGUGUAGCGGUGAAAUGCGUAGAUAUCAAGAGGAACACCUGCGGCGAAGGCGGGUUGCUGGGCCGACACUGACGCUGAUGCGCGAAAGCUAGGGAAGCGAACGGG